AUUGAACGCUGGCGGCAGGCCUAACACAUGCAAGUCGAGCGAGCGGCGGGCGGGUGAGUGAGUAAUGGGAGCCUGCCUGACGGGGGGGGAUAACUACAGGAUAGGGUAGCCAACUACGCAUACCCUCAGCUGGGCACAGGUGGGAUUAGCUAGUUGGUGGGGUAACGGCUCACCUAGGCGACGAUCCCUAGCUGGUCUGAGAGGAUGACCAGCCACACUGGAACUGAGACACGGUCCAGACUCCUACGGGAGGCAGCAGUGGGGAAUAUUGCACAAUGGGCGCAAGCCUGAUGCAGCCAUGCCGCGUGUGUGAAGAAGGCCUUCGGGUUGUAAAGCACUUUCAGCGGGGAGGCGUUACCCGCAGAAGAAGCACCGGCUAACUCCGUGCCAGCAGCCGCGGUAAUUC
rnacentral:rRNA from 1 species